rnacentral:rRNA from 1 species
UGGCGGACGGGUGAGUAACGCGUGGGCAACCUGCCUUACACAGGGGGACAACAGCUGGAAACGGCUGCUAAUACCGCAUAAGCGCACGGUCUCGCAUGAGACAGUGUGAAAAACUCCGGUGGUGUAAGAUGGGCCCGCGUCUGAUUAGCUGGUUGGUGGGGUAACGGCCUACCAAGGCGACGAUCAGUAGCCGACCUGAGAGGGUGACCGGCCACAUUGGGACUGAGACACGGCCCAAACUCCUACGGGAGGCAGCAG